UACAGAGGUCCCAAGCGUUGUUCGGAUUCACUAAACGUAAAAGGUGCGUAGGUGGCGGGGUAAGUCGGAUGUGAAAGCUCGGAGCUCAACUCCGAAAUGGCAUUGGAAACUACCUUGCUCGAGGGUUGGAAAAAGGACUGGAAUGCUUAGUGUAGCAGUGAAAUGCGUAGAUAUCAAGCGGAACACCAGUAGCGAAGGCGAGUCCCUGGACAACUCCUGACACUGAGGCACGAAAGCUAGGGGAGCAAACAGG
rnacentral:rRNA from 1 species